GUGCGUGGCAUCAUCUGGAGAUCUCUCGAUCUCGGCUCUUCUGCACAACUCAACUAAUCUGACCCUCCUCAGCUAAUCUGACCCUCCGCUUUAUGCGGUAGAGUUUUCCAGAGCUGCCCCAGGGGGUUCUGGGGACAUCAGGACCAAGACUUCGCUGACCCUGGCAGUCUGUGCACCGGAGUUGGCUCCUUUCCCUCUUAAACUUGUGCAAGAGAUCGCUGAGCGAUGAAGUUACAGCUAGCAUCCAGGUCCCGGGAGGUGAAGAAGGAGACUUCGGCUCCAGUUACAGCUAGCAUCCGGGUCCCGAUUUAGAAGGAGCUGCCAAUUACAGCGCGGUUCCAGGGCUGAGCAAAAAGCCUGAGGAGCCAAGUGGGAGAGGGAGUAAAACUACUGAAUUGGGCCACAAGCAAAUGAAUAAACUGAACGACUCUUAACCAAACCU
rnacentral:lncRNA from 1 species